AAAUUAAGUAUUUUGAUACUUUCCUGCCACUGUCAUAUCAGCCGUCAUAUCGAGUUUAAAAGAUCCUCAAAUAUGGUAAUGCUGUGAAAAAGCAUAGGUGCAUUGGAAAACUUGCAUGCGCUAUUUUAGAUUCAAAAAACAACAAAAGGAAAAGGGCAAUACAAGUGAAAUAUCAGAGAAGAAUUGAAUAUCCUUAAGUAUUAAAUAUAAAAUUUCCAAUGUAUAGAAUAUCCUCAAACAAAAAAAUUAACAGAAUUGGCAAGAGGAUUCUAAUUUGAAAUAUAGAGAAUGAAGGAGCAAAAGCAAAAAGGAUCAAAGAGCUUAAUAAAUAUUGAUGGUUAUCUCAAUUUGGUUUAAUUUUUUAAAACUAUGAUUAUAUAGAAGAAAUGGAAGAUUAUUGUCAAAAGGAUGAAAAAACAAUAGGUAUUUUUGGUGUAAGCAAAAAAAAAAAAUCUAUAGUGUACGA